rnacentral:lncRNA from 1 species
AAAACCCACAGGCUCAGUGCCUCCUCCCCCACCUCGAAACACAACGAGCUAGGGUUCGGGGCGCGGGAAGGGCGGCGCCCAGUCCAGCCCGCGGCCCGGGAGCGCGCGGUGGGGAGUGAGCCGCCUGCACUGCCCCGCCCCUCCGGUGCCGGCACCUCCCCCGCUGCGGCGGGAGAGAGGCGGGGCGGGACUCCGGGUAUAUAAGCCGAGGGGCGGGCGCCACUCUUUUGUCUCUUGCUGCAGCAACGCGAGUGGGAGCAACUGGAGAUCGGUUUGGAGCAAGAAUUCACGGUGAGCGCUGCUCUGGGGCGGGAAUCGGGCCGGGUGGGGUCAGGGCUGGUGCUACCCGUUGGAGCGCCGCGGCCGCGGUCGCAACAGGCGCCGUUCCCUGGCGGGACUCCAGAGCCCGUCGGCCACGCCCUGGGUCUUCUUCGGAGGGGGGUUCUGGACGCACCCAGAACCUCGGCUUCCGCGCUGCCGGGAACGCCCGGGAGGGAGUGCCUAGUCGAGAGGCGUGGCGGAGAGUGCGGGGAGGGGGCGCUGGCCCCAGCCUUUGGCCAACUUCAGUGGUUUGCCCACUAGUAUUGUUUUAAGAAAAUGGCAGACAAGCCGGACAUGGGGGAAAUCGCCAGCUUCGAUAAGGCCAAGCUGAAGAAAACCGAGACGCAGGAGAAGAACACCCUGCCGACCAAAGAGAGUAAGUGCGCCCCAGCCUCCGGGUCCGUGGCCUCCAUGCGCAGUCCCCCUACCCGCCCUUCCCGUGCCAACCGUACCCCCACCCGGCCAAUGCCCCUGGUUUGGGCGGCCCCUGCUACCUUUAAGGUUACACAAAGUGCUCUGUCUCCCCCGCCCCAAGCCUCUUAACUCCCAGACCUGGUGGGUGCCUCAUUCACAUCAGGUUUUGGAGUGCAUCGCUUGUGGGGAUUGUAAGGUGCUUCAACCCCCAGUGCCCGCUUACCGCUCUCCGCAGCCAUUGAGCAGGAAAAGCGGAGUGAAAUUUCCUAAGAGCCUAGAGGAUUCCCCACCCCCAUCAUCUCUGAGACCCCCGUCGUGAUGUGGAGGAAGAGCCACCUGCAAGAUGGACACGAGCCACAAGCUGCACUGUGAACCCAGGCACUCCGCGCCGAUGCCACCGGCCUGUUGGUACCUGAGGGGACACCCAAUCGGACUGCCAAAUUCUCCGGUUUGCCCUGGGAUAUUAUAGAAAAUUAUUUGUAUGAUUAAUUAAAAUAAAACACCUCGUGGCAUGGCUAGCGUGGUCUGAAUCUAUCUUGG